AUUCAGUUGAUGAGUCGAAAAUUGAACGAAACACACGUCCUGGAU
rnacentral:hammerhead_ribozyme from 1 species